UGAAUCAGAGAAUAUUGGGGCAGGAACAGUCUGGCAGAUUAUUUAGCCCAGCCUCAUAGACUUAUAGAUAACAAAAGAAAAUACCAGAGAUGUUAAAUGACCCACACAAGACCACAUUGCUGGUGCUUGCUUCCUUUUCGGCUUCUCUGCCACAUAAUGACAAAGCACAAGGCCCUCACCAGAAGCCAAGCAGAUGCCAGUGCCAUGCUUUUUGGACUUCCCAGCCUCCAGAGCUGAGAUGAUGGUGAAAAAGGAGAUCCAGGAGAAGAGGGAAAGCAUGGCAAAGUGGGACGCAUGGGGCCAAAAGGAAUUAAAGGAGAACUGGGUGAUAUGGGAGAUCAGGGCAAUAUUGGCAAGACUGGGCCCAUUGGGAAGAAGGGUGACAAAGGGGAAAAAGGUUUGCUUGGCAUACCUGGAGAAAAAGGCAAAGCAGGCUAGAAGAAAGGGAAGAAGGGGACUUCCUGUCUCCCUGCUGGUGACUUUCCAAGCCCUGGGGACAGGGAUGAUGACACGUUUCAUCCCUGCCAUGCUUACUAUGAGAAGAAAGCCCAGCCCAUCAGGAAGCAGCCUAAUUCUUCUGGGCCAAGAGAAAAAUAUGGCAGUACUGUCUGUGAUUGUGGAAGAUACCGGAAAUUUGUUGGACAACUGGAUAUUAGUAUUGCUCGGCUC
rnacentral:sRNA from 1 species